rnacentral:rRNA from 1 species
UGGGGAAUAUUGGACAAUGGGGGCAACCCUGAUCCAGCAAUGCCGCGUGUGUGAAGAAGGUCUUCGGAUUGUAAAGCACUUUCGACGGGGACGAUGAUGACGGUACCCGUAGAAGAAGCCCCGGCUAACUUCGUGCCAGCAGCCGCGGUAAUACGAAGGGGGCUAGCGUUGCUCGGAAUGACUGGGCGUAAAGGGCGUGUAGGCGGUUUACACAGUCAGAUGUGAAAUCCCCGGGCUUAACCUGGGAGCUGCAUUUGAUACGUGUAGACUAGAGUGUGAGAGAUGGGUUGUGGAAUUCCCAGUGUAGAGGUGAAAUUCGUAGAUAUUGGGAAGAACACCGGUGGCGAAGGCGGCAACCUGGCUCAUGACUGACGCUGAGGCGCGAAAGCGUGGGGAGCAAACAGGAUUAGAUACCCUGGUAGUCCACGCUGUAAACGAUGUGUGCUAGAUGUUGGGUAACUUUGUUAUUCAGUGUCGCAGUUAACGCGUUAAAGCACACCGCCUGGGGAGUACGGCCGCAAGGUUGAAAAC